AAAAAGAAAAUAUGUAACGCUUUUCUCUCUAAAGUUAACAGAGACGCAGAGAAAUAGGGGAAAAUUGGAACUCCUCCUUCACGCGAACCCUAGCCGCCGCCGCCGUAGUGUUUUUCUAAUACACCGAUUGUCACGACCUCUUUGAUGAAAUACUCUAUUUCCAUACUCCAAUAUUCGUGGUCUUUCUAGUGAACUCAACAAAUCUUAUUUUCCAUCACAGUCGCGACUCCUCUUCCUUUUCCAUCCGGUCGCCUCCCUCUCAUCUCCUUUUUCACGGGCCAGUUCAAGAUGUGGUGACCACUCUGUAGUUAUAUCAAGUAAUUAGAAGAUUUAUAUGGGUAUUAAAGAUUUACAGUGAACCCGAAGUGCCGAAUCAGACAAUACAUUGGUGAAAUUGGGACUGGAACUUGGAGAAUGAAGAGAAUCGUCCUUGGGAGAUGGUUUUGUGUAUAUAUAGUUUCUCAACAAAUGUGUCUGCUCUUCAGGGAACUUCUUCUCGACCAAUAUAUAAAACAUUGCGUCGGUUGCCGAAACUUGCAGCAGCACAUGAUAAGGAAUAUGAAGAAAAGGAAUAUUAAGAAGACUUAGUAAAAUGAUUAUUUCUAUGAUGGUUCACUAUCUUAGCAAUAGGUAUCAAUAUGAACAAAAUGAAUGUGGUGAAGAUAUUGAUCCCCACGUAAAAUUCUGUUUUGGAAUUUACAUAAAUCAGUUGCUAGUUUAUAUAGCUCUGCAUGAAUUUAUCUUAAAAAUCUAUAUUUACAUUUUAUAGUGCUUAUUAAACUUCAUAUUAUUAAUACUUAAAGUUAUUGUUUUUAUAAUUUAUAAAUGUGUUUAUCUUUUAGUAUUAUAAAAUCAUUAAAUAGAUUUAUGUCAAAUUUAAAUUAUUUUGGUUUUUAGGUGUAACGAAAUAUAUAUUUUUUUUAAAUUGUGUUCUAUUGGCCGCGGUUAUUGAACUGUGGCUUAAAAUAAACACAGGGCUUAGCCAACGGUUUUGGAUUGUGGCUGAAUUUAAACCGUAGUCUAAAAAAGAAAACUAAACCGUGGCCUGUUCACAUUUUUUGGCGACGGCUUUGUAUUAUCGUGGACUAAAGUUAAAAAACCGUGCUCUGUUGGAAUAGGCAACGGGCGUAUAUUCCACAGCUGAAAAACCGUCCCUAAAAGUGUUAGGCAACGGUUUUCAUGCUUUAGGCCGCGGAUUUUAGUUGUUGCCUAAAGUCAUUUUUGUUGUAGUGGGUGUUGCGUACUGAAUAUUUUUGUCUAAGCUCAGCCAUAAUUUCAAACAACUUGACUUUCCCUUGUGACUUCCUCUCUUCAACCACUAACUUAGAGACCCACUUGGAAUUGGCAGACUUGUUAUUUAAUACCCUUGCACAUGUGUGGGUCCCCACACAAGUCUUUAUCUGGUAAGUGUGACUGUCUCCCACUUUACUACAUAAUGCCAAAAAGCCACAUUUACCCUUGAACUCAACCUUAACCAUGUAACCCUCAUUCUUAAUAAUACUUAUCUCUCUACAAUUUAAUACAGACCACUCCUUAAUAGCAUCUUUAAAUUCAGAGAGAGAUUUAAACUCCAUACCUAAUUUGAAUUGAAUGUCUUUGUUGGGCAGCUCUGAUCUGAACUUGUCAUACUUUGGCUUGGAAGGUUUCUCACCCAUGUCACUUUCAUCAGUGUCAUACCCCAAAAUUUUCCCAUACAUUUUCUCCUGCACAAAUUCAAAUCAAGGUGCAAAGCUCCAAAAGACACUCUCCUAUGCAAGGUUCUAAAACUAGGGUUUGACCUAUUCAAAGGGAAAGCACUGAAUCAAUGGCUCCAAGGCAUUUAAUAUGACUCAAGGUAUCCCACAUUACCUCUAUGACAAGUAUUAAGGCCUAUCUCAAAGCUCCGGUCAAUCAAAAGUUCAGAAGGUCAAUAGUCGACUAGUUGACCUAGAAAGUCAACUAUGGUCAAAGUAAAGUCAAAACUUCUGACUUUUUGUCAAAAUCCUCACAUUGAAGUAUCAUUCACCAUUUGAGCAAAAAAUUGAUCAUGGUUCAUCGGGAAAGAUCGAAGAUCGACAGUUCCAAAGUUGCUAAAUUAAAGUGGAGAAAUUUGAUGCUUUGAUCAAAUGGGCCCAUCACUUGGUUUUUAAAGAAGCCCAUGACCUUAUGAUAUCACUUCAUUUAUUUAUUUAUUUAUUCUCUUUUUUUAUUCAUUAUUUUAUUUAUGUUUAUUUGAAUACCAAAUAGACUAUAAAAAUAAUAAUAAUAAUAAUAAUAAUAAUAAUAAUAAUAAUAAUAAUAAUAAUAAUAAUAAUAAUAAUAAUAAUAAUAAUAAUAAAAUGAAUGAAUGAUGAUGAAAUAAAAAGAAUUAAAUUAUAAGGAAAAAGUAAAACUUUCUAGAAGCCAAAGACUUAGUCUUGAAGGAGCAAGAGCCCGUGUGAAGGAAGAUUCAUGGAGAUUUAAUAGAAACCAAAACAGCAAGAUUAGAUAUGAUGGCCAAAUCAAAUCCCAAUGCUGCAAAUUGCAAAGAUAUGAUUAAAUUUUGUAAACCUAAAUAAUUUUGCUAUAUAUGCUUAAACAAUUGGAGGCGAGAGGGGAGAUAAGGAUUCGGACACAAGGCUAGAGGCAAAUACAAAGGAUUUUGUUGAUCCAAGUGCAUUCCCUAGCGUUCUCUGAUCAGCUCCAAGGCCGUUACACGCGCUGGCAGGUUCGUAUCUAUGAGAUAAUAACUCAAAUUUUCAUGGUUCUUGAAUUCUUCAGUGCCAUUAAUCCGUGCCUGUUUCAUGUAAUUUGACUACAUAUUUGCAUUCACCACUACGUAUACAAGCUUUCUGGAUACGUUAAUUGAGUUUGGGUGCAGCUUAAGAGAUUCACCAUAAUUAGGUUAAUGAAGCUUUGAAUUGGGAACUAUGGAUACAUGAAGAAUUGGCCGCGAUAAGUGCUUCUAUCGGAUUCGGGGUGUAUCACAUAGUGGAUUAGGGUUAUUAUUUUGUGAUCCUUAAUGAUGAAUUUCAGGUUUCAAGGGUGAAGCUCUAAGGCCAUGGUUGAAAACGUUGCCUAAAAGUCCCCUGUUUCUGAAAAAGCAACGAGGAAGACGAAGCAAGGCUGGGCGCGGGUCUUCCGUGUUUUUUUAAUUUUUUAUUUUUUGAAUUAAUUUCAUAUAUUUAUCACUUUGAGUGCAUGACUUACAACAUAACAGAAACGGCUCAGUGGUUCAGUGGCAAGGUAAAGGAGUCGCUCCAUGUACCUGGGUUCGAAUCUUGAGAGCGACGCCCAUAUUUUUUUAGAUAUUUAUUUUCAGGGAAUCCAGUACACUUGACUUAUGAAGGUUCACAACAUACCCUCAAUUCCAGGCCAUGGGAUUCACGAUAAAUCAAUCCGACGCUCCAGAACAGCAGGAACAUCCUAGUCCCUCAUAGCCAUGCCACACGGGAACAAAAGUUAAGAUUUUUAGAAAUUUUUUUAUUUUUUAUUACGCAGCCUCCUUUGUUUUGUUUUAAAAUAUAUAUUAUUUUCUUCUCAAAUAAAAAUUGUUUUUUAUAUAUAUAAACUAUAUUCUUAUAUAAAUAUAUUAAUAGGUAUUAUUUAACUUUAUUAUAUAAUGUCUAAUAUAUAUAUUAUUUAUAAUUAUAGUUAUUUAAUUUGAUUUAAUUGUUUAAAACCUUUAAAAUUCAUAUGUAUUUUAUUUUAAUUCCAAAAAUUCCAAAAAAAAUUAUUUUUACAUUUGACUUCAUUUUUCUUAACCCGAUUUGAUUAACUAGGUCGUAAGACCAAUAAUUAAUUAAAUUGUUUGUAUUAUUUUCUUUUUUUGAUUCGUACCCUAAUCAGGGUUUACGAAGAUCAUACCCUACACUGAAUACAUUUUCUUUUCUGUGCCUUUUCAGGGUUAGCAACAUAAUUCCUCCCGACCACGCGCCUUCAAAAAACCCGAAGUUAAGUAAUUUUAUUUAAUUUAAUUUAAAUUAUAUUUGAUUUAUCUUUUAAAUUAGGGUUUGUGUCGCUUUCAUUUUUUUCUGCCUUGUCUCUUUUCAGGGUUAACUUUAAGGCGCCCCCGACUAUCAACCAUAUCAGGAUCAAAUCAGAGCUAAGUACCUUCGCCUAUAUUAUUGUUUUGAAUUUAUUUAUUCUACUAUUUUAGGGUUAACCUCGUCCGCCUUUGAAUUAGCCCUACACUCACCCCAUUUUUUGGUUUGCUUGCCUUUUCAGGGUUCGACGAUUCUAAAGCUAUGAAUGUUUGGUAACCCUAAACCCUAUUUUCCUGUUUUAUUAUUAUUUAUGUCAAACCCUGAUUAAGGGAUCCGCUGGUUACAAUUUCCCGCCCCCAUAUUUGCUAUAUUUGCGUGGUUAGUAAUUUAGGGAGUGCAAGAUUGUAAUUAACCUAGAAUCACUAAUUUACAAGAUAAUAGAUUGAAUCAACCACGUGAUUGUUGCACACACGCACCCUUUUGGGGUAACCUCUCUGUUGCCUUGUUGCCUUGUUGCCUGUUGCCUUUGUGUUUUCGCAGAAUAAGCCAUGUCCCUCGAAUUUGAGGAUACCUCAGCCAUGCUGCCUCGAUAACUAAAGGUCAUACGACCCUAAAUGAUGCUGCCUUCGAUACACAAAUAUGACCUCGACCCUCGGAAGUUGCCUACGGAAAAAGGCUGAGGUAUCUUCUGGCUGCCUACGAAAAGGCUUAUUCUGAUCCUUACCUUAGACUACCUUCCCUUCUAUGGCAUGGGACAGUCUUAUGGCAAAGGAUGCUUCGAUGACCCUUCAACCUCCAAAUGAAAAGCUUCCUGCCCUCUUAUGGCAAGGAUAGACCCUUUCAUUCUGAAAGGCUAGAAGAGACCUAUCAUCUAAGUUUAAGGUAAUUGCCCCUAAUUGCCUUGCUAUACUCUAAACCUUUUUUAAUCUUUCUCAUAAUUUUUCAAAAGGGCAAUGCUUAUUUACAAGCCAAAGUCCCUAUCUCUUUCAUCUACAUUUUCUAAAAACAAACGAGCAAGCAAAGCAAUUAAGAGCCCAUGGAAAACCAUGGAUGCAAAGGGUGCCUUACACCUUCCCUUUGCAUAAAUUACCCCUCGAACUUAGAUUUCUUUAAAAAAGGGUUUUUUCUGUUUCUUUUUGCCUUUCCGAAUUUGUUUGGAUAUGUCAUACCCCAAAAUUUGCCCAUGUCAUUUUUCAUAUACAAGAUCAAAUCAAAAGACAAGGCACCAAAAUACAGUCUCCCACACAGAAGCUCUAAACUAGAGUUUGACAAAUUCAAAGGAAGAUCAUCCAAUCAAUGGCUCAAAGUGGUUCCAUAGGGUCCCUAACAUCCCAAAGUAUCUCCAUACAAAGUCUCAAGUCAAACAGAACAAAUUUGGCCCCUCAAAUCUUGAUUAGGUCAACAGUCGAUUCACAAGGGCAAAACAGUCAUUUCAAGUCAAAAUACAGUCAAAGUUCAAUAUAUUUGGUCAACAACCUCCUCAUAACCCUAAAAUCAUCAUUUGAUCAAGGAUUGAUCAUGAUGAUGCAAGGAAAGGUCACAGAGGUCAAAAGUCAAAGUUACUAUUUUGGGUAUGAACUGAAAAAGUCAACCAAACUUUGAAAAAUCACCAAAUAUUCAUACUUCAUCAGAAAAAUUCCCACCAAAGCUCAUUUUGAAUAGAAUUCAUCCCUCUAUCCAAUGGUCCAAGAAUUAAAGUCCAUAGGUCAACGGUUUAAGAGAUAUGGCUUCACACAUUAGAGGUCCUUUUCAAAAGUCAACAAAAAGACAUCUUUUUCAAAAGGGCAUAAAAUGAGAAUGGAAAAGGAUUUUGACAUGGGACCAAAAGCAUUGGUUAGAGGACUCCCUGAGGUUUUCAAAAUGUCCUAGAACACCUCCAUACCUCAAAAAUUGAGGGAGAUACACCUUGUCAAAGAUAGGUAAUUUUGGAGGGAAAAAUGUGAAGGAACUUGAAAGUUUUUUUGCUAAUGGGCCUAUAUUUUUAGGAUCCAAACUUGUUCCUUAUGCUAUUAAGGGCCCAUAAAUCAUUUUCCACGAAUUUAUGUGAUUUUAAUUAAUUUUAUAAGAAUUUUAUUCACUUAAAAUUCAAUGAAAUUAAGGAAAAUUUGAAAGAUUUGGAAGAAAAUUUGUGUUGAAUCAAAUCCAAUCCACAUUUACUCCAAAAUUCAAUCAAAUUUCGUGCAUUGUAUGAUUGGAACAAGAUUGACUCAAUUAAGGCAAAAAUAGAAAGAUUUCAUGGCAUAUUUCCAAUCAAAUUUUCCAAUAUGCAAAUCAAUGAUUCAAGGAAGAUUUGAUUAAUUUCUCUUGCCCUAAUCACUCUAGUAUAUAUACACAAGCUAUUCAGAUCCUAAAGACACAAGGUUUGCAGCACAAGAAACCUAAUCCCGAGUUCAAAAAUUCAUCAAAAACUCAAGAACCAAUUUUGAAUUCUAGGCCGAUUCAAGGAUUACAAUUGAUCAAGACUUGUUCCUUGAUCAUCACUAAACGAUUCCCAAUCGUUUUCAAGUCACAAAACAUCACGAAUCAAGCGCUGUGAGUCACUUUUAACCGAUUCUUAAAUUGCUUCGAUUCAACAUAUUCAGGCAUUCAUUCUCAAAACUAAUUGCAUAUUUGCGUUUAGAACAUUAUAUUUAUCGUUUCUGGAAACUUUGGUGCGUUAUUGUGCUGUUAUGAUCAUAUUGCCAUGUUAGGGUUCAUGCUCUCGAUUUAGGGCUUUUCUCCACAGGUGAAAUUAGGUCUAAUUAAGACCAUGACUGAAUUCGCAAGGUCCAUACGAAACUAACGGACCUAUCGCGAAAAAUUUCUGUUGUUGUUUGCCCCUAUUCGUUAUUUUUCAGGUAUGAACAUGGCAUACUAUGGCGCUUCUGAAAAGAAGCGGUGUUAAAAGUGGGAGCUAGAGGAAGAAGACGACGAUGUGUCGUCCUCUGAUUGGCCAGUUCAAAAUAAGGCGUGCGCGCGUUUCCCUUGGAUUCCUUUGAAUCCAGUGCGUUAUGAAACACGCACUAGCGUGCACCUGCGCCAUCUCGACCUUCCAGCUGUCCCAGAUCGCAUCUUCCUUUGAUCCAACGCACGCAAAGCUGCGAGUCCACCAUGAACCACACGCGAGCGUCACACCAGAUCAAAAGUUAAGAAUUCUGAAUUUUUUUUAAUUUUAAUUA